rnacentral:tRNA from 1 species
GCCUGCUUAGCUCAAUAGGUAGAGCAUCGGUUUUGUAAACCGAGGGUUGUCGGUUCGAUUCCGAUAGUAGGCU